rnacentral:rRNA from 1 species
CAUUACCUAGAGUUGUAGGCUUUGCCUGCUAUCUCUUACCCAUGUCUUUUGAGUACCUUACGUUUCCUCGGUGGGUUCGCCCACCGAUUGGACAAACUUAAACCCUUUGCAGUUGAAAUCAGCGUCUGAAAAAACUUAAUAGUUACAACUUUCAACAACGGAUCUCUUGGUUCUGGCAUCGAUGAAGAACGCAGCGAAAUGCGAUAAGUAGUGUGAAUUGCAGAAUUCAGUGAAUCAUCGAAUCUUUGAACGCACAUUGCGCCCCUUGGUAUUCCAUGGGGCAUGCCUGUUCGAGCGUCAUUUGUACCUUCAAGCUCUGCUUGGUGUUGGGUGUUUGUCUCCUGUAGACUCGCCUUAAAACAAUUGGCAGCCGGCGUAUUGAUUUCGGAGCGCAGUACAUCUCGCGCUUUGCACUCAUAACGACGACAUCCAAAAGUACAUUUUUACACUCUUGACCUCGGAUCAGGUAGGGAUACCCGCUGAACUUAAGCAUAUCAAUAAGCGGAGGAAAAGAAACCAACAGGGAUUGCCCUAGUAACGGCGAGUGAAGCGGCAACAGCUCAAAUUUGAAAUCUGGCGUCUUUGGCGUCCGAGUUGUAAUUUGCAGAGGGCGCUUUGGCAUUGGCAGCGGUCCAAGUUCCUUGGAACAGGACGUCACAGAGGGUGAGAAUCCCGUACGUGGUCGCUAGCCUUUACCGUGUAAAGCCCCUUCGACGAGUCGAGUUGUUUGGGAAUGCAGCUCUAAAUGGGAGGUAAAUUUCUUCUAAAGCUAAAUACUGGCCAGAGACCGAUAGCGCACAAGUAGAGUGAUCGAAAGAUGAAAAGCACUUUGGAAAGAGAGUUAAAAAGCACGUGAAAUUGUUGAAAGGGAAGCGCUUGCAGCCAGACUUGCCUGUAGUUGCUCAUCCGGGUUUUUACCCGGUGCACUCUUCUACGGGCAGGCCAGCAUCAGUUUGGGCGGUUGGAUAAAGGUCUCUGUC